rnacentral:pre_miRNA from 1 species
CAAAUACUCCCUCCGUCCCAAAAUUCUUGUCUUAGAUUUAUCUAGAUACAGAUGUAUCUAAUACUAAAACGUGACUUGAUACAUCCGUAUUUAGCCAAAUCUAAGACAAGAAUUUUAGGACGGAGGGAGUAGUAC